AAAGUACUCCCUCCGUCCCAAAAUUCUGGUCUUACAUUUGUCUAGAUACGGAUGUAUCAAGUCACAUUUUAGUAUUAGAUACAUCCGUAUCUAGACAAAUCUAAGACAAGAAAUUUGGGACAGAGGGAGUAGUUG
rnacentral:pre_miRNA from 1 species